rnacentral:rRNA from 2 species
GGUCCCAAGGGUAUGGCUGUUCGCCAUUUAAAGUGGUACGCGAGCUGGGUUUAGAACGUCGUGAGACAGUUCGGUCCCUAUCUGCCGUGGGCGCUGGAGAACUGAGGGGGGCUGCUCCUAGUACGAGAGGACCGGAGUGGACGCAUCACUGGUGUUCGGGUUGUCAUGCCAAUGGCACUGCCCGGUAGCUAAAUGCGGAAGAGAUAAGUGCUGAAAGCAUCUAAGCACGAAACUUGCCCCGAGAUGAGUUCUCCCUGAGACUACAAGUCUCCUGAAGGAACGUUGAAGACGACGACGUUGAUAGGCCGGGUGUGUAAGCGCAGCGAUGCGUUGAGCUAACCGGUACUAAUGAACCGUGAGGCUUAACCUUACAACGCCGAAG